CUGACCCAGUGACUGACACAGUGACUGACACAAUGACUGACCCAGUGACUGGCCCAGUGACUGACCCAGUGACUGGCCCAGUGACUGACACAGUGACUGACACAAUGACUGACCCAGUGACUGGCCCAGUGACUGACCCAGUGACUGACACAGUGACUGACACAGUGACUGACACAGUGACUGGCCCAGUGACUGACACAGUGACUGACACACAUCCAUUAUCGCAAUGAAUAAAUGAUAAUGAAGAGAGUAAUAAUAGGGAUGAAAUGUGCAAUAAUGCUCAAUUUAAUAGUACAUGAUUAUAAUAUUAUGAAAUUAAUAUAGAAUUGUAAUAUAUGUUCACGUUAUGAUGUAAAAUUUUAAUAUAUAACUAAUUAAUAUUCCUAUUAUAAUGUAUAAUAUAAUUAUAAUUCCAAUAUGAAUAACAGAAGGUAAUACAUUCAUUUUAGAUUUUUAAGAAAAUUCUCUGUAAAAAUGGCCAUAUUCAAGUGUCUAAUGUGAAAGUGCUCACAAAUUCAUCCUUAACCCUUGAUAUUUUGAUAUUUUAGUUAUACAAAUGUACUUACAAAUGGUGUAGAAACUUUGACAUGCACUUUUACUACAAUACUAAAUAAGUCUGUAAGUACGGUUUGGCCCAACAAAGUCUUGUUACAUCGGGUUGUUCAAAAAAGCUGGGUAAGACUGCUGAACAUCCAGUUGAUGCUAAUGCUAACUGUGUUAACAGUUGUAGCGUUAUCUGCGCUAACAGUACUAACAAUGCUAUCAGUACUAAUGGCGCUAACAAUGUUAACUGUAUGCUACCACAGCACUAAGAAUGCUAACACUGCUAACAGCGCUAACACUGCUAACAGCCCUGACAGCGCUUAACACGCUCAGUGUUAACAAUGCUAAUUGAGCAUCAUGGAUGUUAAAAUUGUAUUCACCUAGGUGCGUUAACAGCGUUAGCAUGCGUUUACCCUCCUCUGAAUCCAAUUGUCUAGCCUACUAGACAUUGAACCCACAAGACGUGGACAACUUGGAUAAGUUAUAGGUUUUUUAUACUGGUGGUCGAUGCUCUGAUGCAAACUGGCACACCACAACGUUAAAGCACAAAAGGAUCCGUCUGACUGAACUGUCUCUGUGUGCUUGUCCAAUAUCCAUAUCCUCCUGUGUGUGUGUAUGUGUGUGUGUAUGUGUGUGUGCGUGCGAGCACACACCUGUUUUUGUCUGACUGUGACUGUCUGUCACAUUAUGGCUUCUGGCAUCCAGUCCACCUAGUCACAUUUCCUGUGUUACAGUCGGCCCAGAUCAGCCUCAGUCUGGAAUAUUUUCUUAACCCUGCCCUUUGACCUUUUUAGGGCACUGAAAGCUCCACAAAGAUUUUCUUGGGGAUGGCCUCAAAUUAAUUACAGCCAUCCUACCCUUAGUCCGACUUUCAAAAAAAAUAUUGACAUUUUAAUUAGAAUAGCAGUGGGCCGGUAUUGCUCACAGUAGUAGACAACACCAACGAUGUGGUGUUCAGGCACGGGCUCAAGCUCCGAGCGUCUUGUAUGUUUUAAAAGGCCAGAUCCAAGAGGAUGUUAUCAGGGAGUGUCUUUGUCUAAGAUUUAGGGUUUGUUUAGAAUACGGAGGCUGAAGACUACCCACGUUAUCUGUUUUUAUGAGAUAGAGACUGCCCAGGAGAGCUUAAGAAACGACAGUGUGUGGCCAGACGGCGGUGGUGGACCGCAGAUAUCUCCCUGCGUUCUGUGAUGGAUUUCCCCAGAGGCAGAAGGGAUUUGGCCAUAAUGGAUUAUACUCGAUGUUGCAACAAUCCCUCCCGGAAGCUGGACUGUGCAGACAAUCAUGGACUAAUGUACGCGCGGGAUCAAAGGACAGGGACACACUCAAACACCACGUCUGUGGUGUGUGUGUGUGUGUGUGUGUGUGUGUGCGCGCAGGUAUAAAGAAGACAUCGAAAUCAACCCACGGAUCCCUUCACCAGAGACAAGUGGGUCUGAUUCUAGGGGUCAUCGGGGAUGGCAGAUGUCAAGCGUUGGUGGACUGUGACGCAGACUCCAAAUUGCAUCGUCCAAAAGCCGGGGACUGAACUGAAAGGCAGAGACGGAGAAUUUAAUCUUGUCCCGAAACUUUGCAGCCCCCCUGGGCGGGCACACACGGGAUGAAGACGGCGGUGGACCUCAGAUUUGGCUGAGUUGUAACUCUCUAUGCACACCAUUGGCCACACUGGAAGCCACCACGUGUGUCAGCAGUGAAAAUGAUAAUCAAACGAUGAAUGAUAAUCCGACGUCACUAUGUGAUAUGUCAUCAAAGAUGUGUUCAUUCCUUUCUGUGGAACGUCGUGGUCCGUGUAGGUUACGCACUUCCCUAGUCGGGCUGUUCCUUAUCGCGGGAAGCCAGGUUUUGAACAAAAAGGGAGCCGUCUCCUCUCUUGUCAAGCGUAAUCUGAUGGUUUAUUUUCACCUGGAUUCUCUGUCUCCUUUUUACUUUUAUUUUGUUGUUGUUCGAGUGAACUUGAUUUUUUUUGUCAUUGUGUGAAGGAAACUGUUAUGUAUCCUGACAUUCUGAUCAUGAACUGCAUGUGUAAAGAUGAUUGUCUUAUAUGCCUCUGAUAUUGUAAUUAUCAUUGACCAAUGGUGAUUUCUUAACAGUGAUAUGCUCGUUGACAUGAUAUCAUCGAUCAGUUGUGUUACAGCUGUCCUUGCUGUCGUGUACUCGUUUGUUUGUCAGUUAUUGUUUGUGUAAGAAAAAAAGGAAUAAUUCAGGGUAACUUGCUCAGUUUUGUGCUUUACUCAGUCUGCCAUUGCUUUGAAACCUUUACUGUCAUAGAUAUUGACAUUGUCUUCCUUUAAUAAUAUAUGGGGAAUGGGAAGACAGGAUGGACUGUGUGAGUGAAUGAGGGGAAAGACUAUUGUUGCGGCAUCCCUGUGUACUGUCUAUCUCUAUGUGAAACGUAUGUUGUGACUGCCAUCCUGUGGUGGGUUUGUGUAACUACUUCGCAAAAUAAACAACCUGUUUCGAUGGCUUACUGUGUUUACAGUUGGAUGGAAUAAUAUGUUGUCGGCCAUUUCAGUUGACAAACAAAUAAUUUUUCCAGACCAGGUGUAGAGAUGUUGUCAUCUUUUAAUUAUUUUGAUAACCAUGCCGUGUAUAUCAAGCCCUCCAAAGGAUGUAUUUUAAAACCCAUUUUGACAGUCAUUGAACAUAAGUUGAUACAGAAUACAGCAAUAUCGUCAAAAGGGUCAUUUAGCCCGUGGGUUAAAAUUUCACAAUACUGCUGAGCAUUAGCCACCCCAAUGUGGAUAAGCGUUUGGUCUGUCCUUUGGAUUAAAUAUCUAAAUGAAUUAAUACGGUAAAAGAUGUUGCCAGUUUUGUUUCCUCUGAGAAAGCGGCGUCUUCCCUAAUGCUUCUGCCUCACCGUCGCUUCCAUGUCACGGCUCGGUCACUCGGCCCACAAACAGAGGGGCUUGGGAACUGUCACUCCACACUAUCAACAGGAAGGGCCUGAGGGCUGAAAAAA